rnacentral:misc_RNA from 1 species
CAGCCGCGUAAUUCCAGCUCCAAUAGCGUAUAUUAAAGUUGUUGCAGUUAAAAAGCUCGUAGUUGAAUUUCGGGAUUGACACAUCGGUCGUGCCUUAAGGGGUAUGAACUGGUGUAGUCAAUUUCUCACCUUCUGGAGAACCGCAAUGCCCUUAAUUGGGUGUCGCGGGGAACCAGGACCUUUACUUUGAAAAAAUUAGAGUGUUUAAAGCAGGCAUUUUGCUUGAAUACAUUAGCAUGGAAUAAUAAAAUAGGACGGAUGAUUCUAUUUUGUUGGUUUCUAGGACCACCGUAAUGAUUAAUAGGGAUAGUUGGGGGCAUUAGUAUUCAAUUGUCAGAGGUGAAAUUCUUGGAUUUAUUGAAGACUAACUACUGCGAAAGCAUUUGCCAAGGAUGUUUUCAUUAAUCAAGAACGAAAGUGAGGGGAUCGAAGACGAUCAGAUACCGUCGUAGUCUUAACCAUAAACUAUGCCGACUAGGAAUCAGACGAUGUUAAUUUUUUAAUGACUCGUUUGGCACCUUACG